UAAAAAUCGUAACAAGGUUUCCGUAGGUGAACCUGCGGAAGGAUCAUUGUCGAAACCUGCAAAGCAGAACGACCCGCGAACACGUUUAAAUUUAUGGGAGUGGAGAUUUGCAUGGUGCCUUGUGUGCCUUGCAGCCCCUAUCCCAAGCGGGUGGUUGUCACUCACGUGACGGUCCCUGCUACCUAAACGAACCCCGGCGCGAAAAGCGUCAAGGAAUACAAAUUCAAUGUACCCAUCCAUGACCCGGUCAUUCGGUGUUGUGUUAUGGUGUCAUGUUACUAAYAAUAAACGACUCUCGGCAACGGAUAUCUCGGCUCUCGCAUCGAUGAAGAACGUAGCGAAAUGCGAUACUUGGUGUGAAUUGCAGAAUCCCGUGAACCAUCGAGUUUUUGAACGCAAGUUGCGCCCGAAGCCUUUGGCUAAGGGCACGUCUGCCUGGGCGUCACGCAUCGCGUCUCCCCCACACCAAUCACAUUGGUGGGGAAGGAUGAUGGCUUCCCGUGCCUCACCGGGUGCGGUUGGCUUAAACUUGGAGCCCACGGUAAAUAUUUGCCGCGGCGAUAGGUGGUGAACUUGGCUUAGGCCGUGUAAACAACCCGUUGCGGUGUGUUAGUGUGGGCUCGUUGGACCCAAUGUUUUGCAUUGUGCAAUUCAAACCUUUGCGACCCCAGGUCAGGCGGGGCUACCCGCUGAAUUUAAGCAUAUA
rnacentral:misc_RNA from 1 species